UUUAACAAAAACAUGUCCUUUUGAGGUAGAUAUAAGGUCGGGCCUGCCCCCUGAAUAAUUUUUAAAGGGCCGCGGUAUUUUGACCGUGCAAAGGUAGCAUAAUCAUUAGUCUUUUAAUUGAAGGCUGGAAUGAAUGGUUUGACGAAACAUUAACUGUCUCUAUAUAAUAAGUAUAAUUUAACUUUUGAGUUAAAAGGCUUAAAUGAAUAUAAAAGACGAGAAGACCCUAUAGAGCUUUAUAUAUUUAAUUAAUUAUGAAAUUUGGAUGAUUUAUUUAUGGUUAUUUAAUUAUAUUUUGUUGGGGUGACAUAAAGAUAUAAAUAACUCUUUAAGUAUAAUACAUUGAUUUAUGGUUAUGUGAUCCAUUAAUAGUGAUUUUAAGAUAAAGUUACCUUAGGGAUAACAGCGUAAUUUUUUUUGAGAGUUCAUAUCGACAAGAAAGAUUGCGACCUCGA
rnacentral:rRNA from 1 species